GAGUUUCGAGCGCCGCUUCCUGGCGGCGCGCACGCUGCGCUCCUUCCCCUGGCAGGGGGGCGGCGGGCGAGCGGAGAGGCCCGCGGGGCUCGCGGGAGUCCAGGGGCAGACGGGAUGGGUCUCCGUGCUGAAACCCCCGGCGCUCCUGCCACAGCUUAGAAGCAAAGUUAAGAGACUCAUCAGAUUCUGAGCUGCUGCGGGAUAUUUUGCAGAAGGACUGUCCUAGAGCUUGGCAGUGGUGCCGGCCUCACAGGCCUGGCCAUCUGCAAGAUGUACCGCCCCCGGGCAUUCAUCUUCAGUGACUGUCACAGCCGGGUCCUCGAGCAGCUCCGAGGGAAUGUCCUUCUCAAUGGCCUCUCAUUAGAGGCAGACAUCACUGCCAACUUAGACAGCCCCAGGGUGACAGUGGCCCAGCUGGACUGGGACGUAGCGACGGUCCAUCAGCUCUCUGCCUUCCAGCCAGAUGUUGUCAUUGCAGCAGACGUGCUGUAUUGCCCAGAAGCCAUCGUGUCGCUGGUCGGGAUCCUGCGGAGGCUGGCUGCCUGCUGGGAGCACCAGCAGUCUCCUGAGGUCUACGUGGCCUUUACCGUCCACAACCCAGAGACGUGCCAGCUGUUCACCACCGAGCUAGGCCGGGCUGGGAUCAUAUGGGAAGCGGAAGCUCAUCAUGACCAGAAACUGUUUCCCUAUGGAGAGCACUUGGAGAUGGCAAUGCUGAACCUCACACUGUAGGACUCACACACGACUCCAACGGGAUUGUGAGAAUCAAGUCAAUCUCAUGGGAAGAAUUUUUAUAUGGGAAAGCGGAUAAAACUUUCAUUGUACUGGAA
ensembl:lncRNA FAM86DP family with sequence similarity 86 member D, pseudogene